rnacentral:rRNA from 1 species
AUACGAAGGGGGCUAGCGUUGUUCGGAAUUACUGGGCGUAAAGCGCAUGUAGGCGGACAUUUAAGUCAGGGGUGAAAUCCCGGGGCUCAACCCCGGGACUGCUUUGGAAACUGUGGUGCUAGAGUGCAGGAGAGGUAAGUGGAAUUCCGAGUGUAGAGGUGAAAUUCGUAGAUAUUCGGAGGAACACCAGUGGCGAAGGCGGCUUACUGGUCCAUUACUGACGCUGAGGUGCGAAAGCGUGGGGAGC